AUUUAAUAAGUAUACUUUGUACAAUUAACUUCCAAUUAAUAAGAUUAAGAAUAUCUUAAAUUAAAUA
rnacentral:tRNA from 1 species